rnacentral:rRNA from 1 species
UACGGAGGGGGCUAGCGUUGUUCGGAAUUACUGGGCGUAAAGCGCGCGUAGGCGGACCUGCAAGUCGGGGGUGAAAGCCCGAGGCUCAACCUCGGAACUGCCUUCGAUACUGCGGGUCUCGAGUCCGGGAGAGGUGAGUGGAAUUCCUAGUGUAGAGGUGAAAUUUCGUAGAUAAUUAGGAAGAACACCAGUGGCGAAGGCGGCU